UACGUAGGGUCCGAGCGUUGUCCGGAAUUACUGGGCGUAAAGAGCUCGUAGGCGGUUUGUUGCGUCGGCCGUGAAAACUUGGGGCUUAACUCCGAGCUUGCGGUCGAUACGGGCAGACUUGAGUUCGGCAGGGGAGACUGGAAUUCCUGGUGUAGCGGUGAAAUGCGCAGAUAUCAGGAGGAACACCGGUGGCGAAGGCGGGUCUCUGGAACGGUACUGACGCUGAGACGCGAAAGCGUGGGGAGCGAACAGG
rnacentral:rRNA from 1 species